UGAUUGUCAGCAUUGCCCACGUCCAGGGUAGCGCCAACUCUUACCGGGUUCAUAAAAGGAUGUCCUCUCUUGGUAACAAAACUAUUACCGGGUUUAUCGGAUGUAAAGCCGGUGACAGUCAUACACUCACUUCCCCAAAUCCUGCGAAGGGUUACUGAGGAAGGAAAUGAGAGGUGUACCAUUCUGUUCGGAACAAGUCUUACCUCGAAAAUAGCCGGAGUACCGGGGGAAAGAGGAAGGGCAAUGACGGAACCGGAAACAAUGCGGCUACCUUCAGGGGUUAUCACGACAGCGCCACCGGAAGAUCCGGUGAAAAAACUGCCAAAACUCAGAUCCUGUACCAGGUAAACCUCCAGGCUGCUUGGGGGGGGGGGGAAAGCGGCAUCCGGACAUGAAGCUGGAUAAAAAAAAGAGUAUUUGUUUCAUCAGUUAAAAACAAAUUCUUUUUCAGCAUACAUCACGGGCAUUGCUUCAUUUGAACUGCUAUAACGUAUCAGCAGCUUCCCGGCGGUGAAAUCAACGCCUUCAGGUAAGUCCAGCGGCAUGGAAAACCGGCGCAAGGUAUUGGGGGUAUAUACCGCCAAUCCCCUGACGUUUUCCACAUUAAUCCUUUCCCCAUCGGGAGCAAUAUAAUCGAUGCUCAGAUCGCCAUAAACCGACUGGGUGCCUUCCCUGUUCAGGGUCAUCUUCACCACAGGCGGUUGAUUCUCUACCUGCUCGACUGUCAAAUCGUUGAUGGUAACUUUUGAAUAAAGGUUGCCUAUCCGGAUAAUGACCGGGAUGGAAACGCCGUA
rnacentral:rRNA from 1 species